rnacentral:rRNA from 1 species
GACGAACGCUGGCGGCGUGCUUAACACAUGCAAGUCGAGGGCACUAUUGGGGCAACCUGGUAGUGACCGGCGAACGGGUGCGUAACACGUGAGCGACCUUGCCUCGUGGUGGGGGAUAGCCGGCCCAACGGCCGGGUAAUACCGCAUAUGGUGCUGUCUUCGCAUGGAGACGGUAGCAAAGCUGUGUCGCAAGACAUGGCGCCACAGGGGGGGCGUCGCGGCCUAUCAGCUAGUU